UAGGGAAUCUUCGGCAAUGGACGAAAGUCUGACCGAGCAACGCCGCGUGAGUGAAGAAGGUUUUCGGAUCGUAAAACUCUGUUGUUAGAGAAGAACAAGGACAUUAGUAACUGAACGUCCCCUGACGGUAUCUAACCAGAAAGCCACGGCUAACUACGUGCCAGCAGCCGCGGUAAUACGUAGGUGGCAAGCGUUGUCCGGAUUUAUUGGGCGUAAAGCGAGCGCAGGCGGUUUCUUAAGUCUGAUGUGAAAGCCCCCGGCUCAACCGGGGAGGGUAAUUGGAAACUGGGAGACUUGAGUGCAGAAGAGGAGAGUGGAAUUCCAUGUGUAGCGGUGAAAUGCGUAGAUAUAUGGAGGAACACCAGUGGCGAAGGCGGCUCUCUGGUCUGUAACUGACGCUGAGGCUCGAAAGCGUGGGGAGCAAACAGG
rnacentral:rRNA from 1 species